rfam:Vibrio panuliri strain CAIM 703 CAIM703_34, whole genome shotgun sequence.
CCUACUCUGUAGCGAGUAGUAGCCUAGGGAUAGUGCGUUUCUGGUAACGGAUUCGUGCGGAGUUUCCUAACAAUGUAUCCCCGUAAUGGUGCUAGUUCUCCGUGAGGAGGUUAGUAGAUAUCGACAAAGACAGUCGAUUGAGGAG